rnacentral:rRNA from 3 species
UGGGGAAUAUUGGGCAAUGGGCGCAAGCCUGACCCAGCAACGCCGCGUGAAGGAAGAAGGCUUUCGGGUUGUAAACUUCUUUUAAGUGGGAAGAGUAGAAGACGGUACCACUUGAAUAAGCCACGGCUAACUACGUGCCAGCAGCCGCGGUAAUACGUAGGUGGCAAGCGUUGUCCGGAUUUACUGGGUGUAAAGGGCGUGCAGCCGGGCAUGCAAGUCAGAUGUGAAAUCUCAGGGCUUAACCCUGAAACUGCAUUUGAAACUGUAUGUCUUGAGUGCCGGAGAGGUAAUCGGAAUUCCUUGUGUAGCGGUGAAAUGCGUAGAUAUAAGGAAGAACACCAGUGGCGAAGGCGGAUUACUGGACGGUAACUGACGGUGAGGCGCGAAAGCGUGGGGAGCGAACAGG